rnacentral:rRNA from 1 species
UACGUAGGGAGCAAGCGUUGUCCGGAAUUAUUGGGCGUAAAGCGCGCGCAGGUGGUUUCUUAAGUCUGAUGUGAAAGCCCACGGCUCAACCGUGGAGGGUCAUUGGAAACUGGGGAACUUGAGUGCAGGAGAGAAGAGUGGAAUUCCACGUGUAGCGGUGAAAUGCGGUAGAGAUGUGGAGGAACACCAGUGGCGAAGGCGACUCUUUGGCCUGUAACUGACACUGAGGCGCGAAAGCGUGGGGAGCAAACAGG